CAGCAGAACGACGUCUGG
rnacentral:siRNA from 1 species